AUUCUCCUCCUUCCUUUUAACCAAAUUCUUAUACCGCAACAAACUAGUUGGUAAUAUUAAUAAAUUGUUUUGUAAUUUUCUUAUUUUGUUGCUUACUAAUAUUUUUGUUUUCUUGUAGGAUGAUUUACUUGUAUGGACCAACACCUCCGCGCGUCGACCCCGAACUGAUCGAAGGAGAGCUACUUUGGGGAGGCAGCAACCGACAUUGAGCCGGCGAAAUUUUCGACAAUGAGGUUGGUAUCAUUUGAAUAAUGCUUAGAGUAUAUUAAUAAUGGCCUAGUGUUAACUAAUAUUAGUAAUUACCUAGUAUUGUGUUAGCUAAUGUGCAUAAAUUCAUAACUAGAUAGUAUCUCGACCCAUUAGCCGAAUGGAAACUCUUUUUCUUACUUAAUUCACUUUAUUCAUAGUCAUUUUAACUUAAAUAUGAUUUAACUCAUGUCUUUCAAGUAUCGGAUGUAUCUUCAAACAAUUAAUGUAAAUUUUUUUUUAUCAGACAUCCAUGAGAUAUUUAGAGACGUUCUAUUAGAAUUUAAAACCACCCAAGAAUAAUCCAUCUCAUGUCAGCUUAGUUUCUAUGAGAAGCAUCAAAGUAUGGCAAGUAACAUGACAACUUUAAAUGUUCUACGAAAAUUAGAUAUCUUAACUUUCUACGAAAAUUAGAUAUCUUAACUUUCUUACAACCAGUGUUAUGGAAGGCGCGAUUAGACGUCCGCCUAGGCGGAGAAAACCCAAAGGCACCGCCAAAAAGCCUCGCCUCGGGCAAGGCGAUGAAAUAAGGUGGCUGACCGAGGAAUGACUAAGGAAUCGCGCGAAAUCGAUGAGGAAUUGAUUUUCGCGACACCGAGGCGGCGAAAUCUGCUAUUAGGCGUUAAAUGAGAGCAAAUCCGAUACCCACCACUACUUGUAUUUGCCGAAGAAGGAGAAUUAAUAUUUGUACAUAACUACAACCAUAUAUUAUAAUAUGUCAUGGCUAAUCAUAUAGUUCUUGCCAAAUAUGCAUUACAUAAUUGUAAUAAUAUAUUACAUGCCUUGCCCAG
rnacentral:lncRNA from 1 species